rnacentral:rRNA from 1 species
AUAUAAUUAGCAAGAUGACAACCUGAUGAACUGAAACAUCUUAGUAAUCAGAGGAAAAGAAAGCAAAAGCGAUUCCCUUAGUAGUGGCGAGCGAAAAGGGAACAGCCUAAACCGCCUAUUAAGGCGGGGUUGUGGGAGAAUAACAUAAGAAAAGAAGAAUUAGGCGAAUCAGCUGAAUCCUGUACCGUAGAUGGUGAUAGUCCAGUAGCCAAAAAUUGUUCUGAUUUUUCAUUCUAACCCGAGUAGCAUGAGGCACGUGAAACCUUAUGUGAAUCAGCGAGGACCACCUCGUAAGGCUAAAUACUCCUGAGUAACCGAUAGCGAAGCAGUACCGUGAGGGAAAGGUGAAAAGAACCCCCAUCGGGGAGUGAAAUAGAUCAUGAAAUUGUAAGCCUACAAGCAGUGGGAGAAAAAUAGAAUUUUUGACCGCGUGCCUGUUGAAGAAUGAGCCGGCGACUUAUAGGCAGUGGCAGGGUUAAGGCCAUACCGAAGCCAUAGCGAAAGCAAGUCAUAUCAGGGCACAUGUCACUGCUUAUGGACCCGAACCCGGGUGAUCUAUCCAUGGCCAGGGUGAAGCUUGGGUGAAACCAAGUGGAGGCCCGAACCGACUGGUGUUGAAAAACCAGCGGAUGAGUUGUGGUUAGGGGUGAAAUGCCAAUCGAACCCGGAGCUAGCUGGUUCUCCCCGAAAUGCGUUGAGGCGCAGCGGUUGAAUGGACUAUCUAGGGGUAAAGCACUGUUUCGGUGCGGGCUGCGAAAGCGGUACCAAAUCGAGACAAACUCUGAAUACUAGAUACGACUAGCAGUCAGCCAGUAAGACGGUGGGGGAUAAGCUCCAUCGUCAAGAGGGAAACAGCCCAGAUCACCAGCUAAGGCCCCUAAAUGAUUUCUCAGUGGUAAAGGAGGUGAGAGUGCAAAAACAGCCAGGAGGUUUGCCUAGAAGCAGCCACCCUUCAAAGAGUGCGUAAUAGCUCACUGAUCGAGCGCUCUUGCGCCGAAAAUGAACGGGACUAAGAAAUCUGCCGAAGCUGUGGGAUGUGUAAAAACAUCGGUAGGGGAGCGUUCUGCAUUAGAUUGAAGCAUCAGUGUAAUCAGGUGUGGACGAAGCAGAAGUGAGAAUGUCGGCUUGAGUAACGCAAACAAUGGUGAGAAUCCAUUGCCCCGAAAACCCAAGGGUUCCUACGCAAGGCUCGUCCACGUAGGGUGAGUCAGGACCUAAGAUAAAGCCAAACGGCGUAGUCGAUGGACAAUAGGUUAACAUUCCUAUACUAUUUCUUUGUUGCUAAAGAGGGACAGAGGAGGUGAAAGGUAGAUAAAAGUUGGUUAUCCGUUUACGGUGAUUUUGUUUAUCUCUAUCCAUACUCUCAAGAAAAGCUCAUAUAGUGUAUAUACAAAGAAGUACCUGUACCCGAAACCGACACAGGUGGGUAGGUAGAGCAUACCUAGGGGCGCGAGAUAACUCUCUCUAAGGAACUCGGCAAAAUAGCCCCGUAACUUCGGAAGAAGGGGUGCCUCCUUCGGGAGGCCGCAGUGACCAGGCCCAGGCGACUGUUUACCAAAAACACAGGUCUCCGCAAAGUCGCAAGACGNCGUAUGGGGGCUGACGCCUGCCCAGUGCCGGAAGGUUAAGGAAGUCUGUGACCCGAAAACGGGAAAGCUGGCAACCGAAGCCCCGGUGAACGGCGGCCGUAACUAUGACGGUCCUAAGGUAGCGAAAUUCCUUGUCGGGUAAGUUCCGACCCGCACGAAAGGCGUAACGAUCUGGGCACUGUCUCGGAGAGAGACUCGGUGAAAUAGACUUGUCUGUGAAGAUGCGGACUACCUGCACCUGGACAGAAAGACCCUAUGAAGCUUUACUGUUCCCUGGGAUUGGGUUUGGGCUUCUCUUGCGCAGCUUAGGUGGGAGGCAAAGACGAUAUCUUUCCGGAGAUAUUCGAGCCGUCAAUGAGACACCACCCUAGAAAAACUAGAAUUCUAACUUUGUUCCUAUAAGAAGGUCAGGGGACAUUCUCAGGUAGACAGUUUCUAUGGGGCGUAGGCCUCCUAAAAGGUAACGGAGGCGUGCAAAGGUUUCCUCAGGCUGGACGGAAAUCAGCCUUCGAGUGUAAAGGCAAAAGGGAGCUUGACUGCAAGACCUACACGUCGAGCAGGGACGAAAGUCGGCCUUAGUGAUCCGACGGUACCGAGUGGAAGGGCCGUCGCUC